rnacentral:tRNA from 1 species
AAGCAGUUAGUUUAAAAAAAACACUUGAUUUCGACUCAAUAACUUGUGGUUGAACCCCGCAACUGCUUA